UACGAAGGGGGCUAGCGUUGCUCGGAAUCACUGGGCGUAAAGGGCGCGUAGGCGGGCUAUCAAGUCUGGGGUGAAAUCCCACGGCUCAACCGUGGAACUGCCUUAGAUACUGACGGCCUUGAGGAAGGUAGGGGCAUGCGGAACUGUAGGUGGAGCGGUGAAAUGCGUUGAUAUCUACAGGAACUCCGGUGGCGAAAGCGGCGUGCUGGACCUUUUCUGACGCUGAGGCGCGAAAGCUAGGGGAGCAAACGGG
rnacentral:rRNA from 1 species